AUUGCUGGCUUAGCUCCAAAGGUUGUAUUGAGAUUAGGGUGUACCUUCGCCUCUCAAUCAGCCUCCCGUCCUCAGCCUUGCCAUCUCGCUAGUCCGGGACAAAUCCCUAGAGCGUCUUCCUCUGCGGGUCUCAGCCCAGCCCGGGGUUGGCUCCUCCUCCGCCCCGGCUUCCGCGCCCCUCCCGUGUGGCAAGGAGUACCAGGCCCGGGGACCCCGAGGGGCUUGGGGCGAAGGGUCGGGACUGGGGGCCUCCUUAACGGCUCACGGACUUGCGAGAGGUUCGGCUCGAUGGCCGUGAAAGCGACGAAUCCGCUCCUGUGCUGGCCUCUUGGCUCCUUCCAUUCAAAGCCAGCUGCUUUUAUGGAAGCCCGUAACACGUCAUCUCCCCCUGGUACUCCAGAUGUCCAGGCUUUCAGUUUAGAAUAGACUCAGUCCUACAGUUAGCUUUAGAUCUAAUUCUAGUUUUGUUACGCCAAAAAGUUCCUGCGAGUGUGUGUGUGUGCCUCAUGGUACUUUUUAAAUUAAAAGGUGUACAGUUAUUUGAUUGCAAACAUAAGGAACCUAAAAUGCUUUCAGAUUUUCCACAUGAUCUCAUGUAGAGGCUAAGAUCUACAGCAUCAGCAAGUUUAUCCACCCAGUUUCCUAACCCCAACACUUGCUAUGAAGUCACAGCUUCUCCUAUUUAAAUAAGUGCCUAUUAUAUUUAAAUAAGUGCUGUCGUUUUCUGUCAUCCUAUCGAUUGUAACUGCAUUUUAGCAUAAAUCUAGGGCAAGAUUGGAUGAGCUUGGCCUUUUUGGAUGGCUAUCAAGGCAGGCCUUGGGAAAUGCUCCUCUGAGGAAAGAAGAACGUUUAUUUUUAAUGAGCUAAUUACUAGAUCAUUAUGUUUCUUCUUCCAGCUGUAGAAUAUCAUUGCCCAGCUUCUCGAACAAACUUAUUUAUUAACAAGUAUUUGAGAACCUACUAUGUGGCCAACGCUAAGUACUGUGGAGUUCCUUCUGGAGAGGAAACCACAAUCAAAUUGGAAGAGGAAAACAAGUUGGGAAGCAGUUGAAGGCAAACGCUAUGGUGCUUUCUUGGUUUCUGUAUCUUUGUAGUGUAGUUUUUCUAGUCCUUUCAGUUUUCACAGUCCACUUUUUUUUCUUUCUUUCUUUUUUUUUUUUUUUUUUGAGACGGAGUUCUACUCUGUUGCCCAGGCUGGAGUGCAGUGGCGCGAUCUCGGCUCACUGCAAGCUCUGCCUCCCGAGUUCAAGCGAUUCCUCCUGCCUCAGCCUCCCAAGUAGCUGGGACUACAAGCGCGCCCCACAAAUUUUUGUAUUUUUAGAAGAGACGGGGGUUUCACCAUGUUGGCCAGGCUGGUCUCGAACUGCUGACCUCAAGUGAUCCACCCGGCUCGGUCUCCCAAAGUGCUGGGAUUACAGGCGUGAGCCACGGUGCCCGGCCACAGUCAAAGUUUUUCCUCAAGCCCCUGUGAUUGCGGAUAAUAGUAAACGCUUUAUAAAUACCUUACACAGAAUGUUUUUUAAAAUAUCACGCAAGGAAUGACAAAAUUACAUGAAUCCUUGAUUUAUACCUAAGUAACAUAUUGUGCAACACAGACUGGGUGUUCUGAAUGUUGCGAUAGUGGCCGAGACUUUCAUUAGGUGAAGGGAGAUCUCAAUUCUCGCGUUUAAGAACCAACACUGGACCGGGCGCGGUGGCUCACGCCUAUAAUACCAGCACCUUGGGAGGCCGAGGCGGACGUAUAAUUUGAGGCCAGGAGUUCGAGACCAGCCUGGCCAACAUGGUGAAACCCUGUCUACUGAAAAUACAAAAUUAGCCGGGCGUGGUGGCGCAUGCCUGUAAUCCCAGCUACUUGGGAGGCUGAGGCAGGAGAAUCGCUUGAGCCCGGGAAGCGGAGGUUGCAGUGAGUCAAGAUCACGCAAUUGCACUCCAGCCUGGGCGACCGAGUGAGACCUUGUCUCAAAACAAAACAAAAAACCAAUACCUUUGAGCCCAUCGGAGCCAUAUUAUUGUGCGUUAGGGGUAGUCACUGGCCACGAGCAUUUUCUCAGGGCAGAGAUCACAUUUCUGCUCUCAGUGGGGCCGGGGUGGGCCGGAAGCCGGAGAGGGACUGGAACGCCGGUCCGGGGAAGCCCCGCGCGCACCGGGGCGCACCCUGCUUCCUAGGGAGGGAGGCUGGGGCGGCAAGGCGGGCGCGGGUGGUCCUUGCCCCGCGCCAGCUCGCCAGGCCACGUCGCUGGCGUUUUUCCAGCGCUGGGUCACCUGCGGGCCGGCGGGUUCCCGCGGCGAACAGCUGGGUGGUAUGGAUACGCCGCUCGAGCCUCCGCAGCGUCAGGUCGCCAGGGUCCGCCCUGCCACUCGCCCCACCUUGAGGUAACUUUUCUUCCGCCUUCUGACUGCGGAAGGAAGGGCCUGGGAGGAAGCAGAAAACCUCACGUGGCUCGGGCUACCUCUGAAGAAAAGAUGAUGGCCCGGUGCGGUGGCUCACGCCUGUAAUCCCAGCACUUUGGGAGGCCGAGUCAGGCGGAUCACCUGAGCAGUGUAAAGAAAGUCUGAAGAAUACUCCAGGAAAAUUGAGGAAACUAAAGCUAUUUCUACUACUGGUCUCAUAAUUGCAAAGCCAGUGCCUACCAUGAUAAGUGCUCUCUUACUUGGAAGAAGACGUAUAAGCCUUUAAGCUUAGUAAACCUUUGGGUUCUGUGCAUUUGGCCAUCAUUCCAGUUGUCAGCAUUGUGCAGGACAGGUACUUGAGGUCUGUUUUUGUGAACCAGGGACCCGAGGCACAGAGCAAGUAAGUGGAUAGAAACAAAUGCUGUAAGAACAAAUAAUUGUAUUUAAAAAUUUAUGAUUUUCAUUUAUUUUUCAGAGGAAGCAUUAAUGAGUAGGUAGUAAUUUCUGGGUAUUAAAAAACCAUCAGAGACAUUUCUUUUUCCUUAUAAAAGAAGUCAUAACAGUGAACAUUUA
rnacentral:lncRNA from 1 species